rnacentral:rRNA from 1 species
AUCAUGGCUCAGAUUGAACGCUGGCGGAAUGCUUUACACAUGCAAGUCGAACGGCAGCACGGGGGCAACCCUGGUGGCGAGUGGCGAACGGGUGAGUAAUACAUCGGAACGUGCCCAAUCGUGGGGGAUAACGUAGCGAAAGCUACGCUAAUACCGCAUACGAUCUACGGAUGAAAGCGGGGGAUCGCAAGACCUCGCGCGAAUGGAGCGGCCGAUGGCAGAUUAGGUAGUUGGUGGGGUAAAGGCUCACCAAGCCGACGAUCUGUAGCUGGUCUGAGAGGACGACCAGCCACACUGGGACUGAGACACGGCCCAGACUCCUACGGGAGGCAGCAGUGGGGAAUUUUGGACAAUGGGCGCAAGCCUGAUCCAGCCAUUCCGCGUGCAGGAUGAAGGCCUUCGGGUUGUAAACUGCUUUUGGACGGAACGAAAAGCUACUUUCUAAUACAGAGUGGUCAUGACGGUACCGUCAGAAUAAGCACCGGCUAACUACGUG